rnacentral:lncRNA from 1 species
UUCUUUAUUUUUUUUUUUAACAGUAUCUUGCUCUGUUGCCCAGGCUGGUGCAGUGGCGUGAUCACUGCUCAGUGCAGCCUCGCCUUCUUGGGCUCCAGCUAUCCUCCCGCCUCAGCCUGUGGAGCAGCUGGGACCACAGGUGCGCGACACCACACCCGACUAAUUUUUUGUAGUUUUUGUAGGGUCUCGUUUUGUUGCCUAGGCUGUUCUCGAACUCCUGAGCUCAAGCAGUCCGUCCGCCUGGGCGGACUAAUAUCACAAAGCGCUAGAAUCACAGGCAUGAGCCACCGUGCUGGGAGGGAAGUCUGUAUUGUUGCUGCGUUCAACCCAGUGCAUAGUGCAUGAGAAGAGGAGGCAGUUUAGGGGCCCAGAACCAAGCGGAUGGGGCUGGUUGCAGGAACAAAGUAAAAACCAUUCUGAUUGCCAACAGCUGCCUACGCAGGAAACACCCUUCCAACCUCCGUGGCGGGGCUCUCCCAGGCCACCCCUCGGUCCCAGAGUCUCCUCCCCGUCCAGAGCUCUCAGGAUCCUACAGAAGGGGCGGACAACUCUUCCCUUCCAAACUGGAAAGUCGGCCUAGGUUUCCGAGGAUAAUGAAAGGCACAGCGUUUUUUGACCUCGACUUCAGGCCUGACCCCCCACUCUCUCGGUCCCGUACCUCUUCUGCGGGAUGUAACUCUGUGGGAACCGCUCCUUUAUUCUGAUGAUUAACUGUCUGAUAUCCUUGAUAUUUGGGGAUAGUAGAUGAAAGAGAGCAGGAGAGAAAAAUGGACGGCAAGACUCCAGCUCAGAAGGUGGGAAUGAUGGCAAAAGUCCGCUACCUCUCCAAGCCCAAUAAACAUCUCAAACUGCUCUACACUUUUCUGUACCCUUGAUCUGUGAAAUGGAUCACUGACGUUUUCUGUCUUUCGGGAAAUGCAAAGCAGGCGAAUUUUCAAGCGCUUGAAUUCCCUCUUUUUCCUACUUUUCAGUCAGAGUGGAGCUAAAAACUCCUUCCCCAUAGGAAAUAUGGAACUGCCUCUGCCCGGAAGAAAAACGUCCCUUUUCCCUAAGCUUUCACAUUUCCCGAAAAAUCUACACAUCCGCAUGAAAUCCUCACAAGAGACCUACAGACCCUACCGGGAGCGUUCCUGUCACUACAAAAAAUUU